rnacentral:rRNA from 1 species
AUGCUCAGUACGGCGAGUGAGCGGCAACAGCUCAAAUUUGAAAUCUGGCUCCUUCGGGGCCCGAGUUGUAAUUUGCAGAGGAUGCGUCGGGUACGGGUGCCUUCCGAGUUCCCUGGAACGGGACGCCAUAGAGGGUGAGAGCCCCGUCUGGUAGGAUACCCAGCCCGUGUGACGCUCCCUCGACGAGUCGAGUAGUUUGGGAAUGCUGCUCUAACGGGAGGUAUACUCCUUCCAAGGCUAAAUACCGGCUGGAGACCGAUAGCGCACAAGUAGAGUGAUCGAAAGAUGAAAAGCACUUUGAAAAGAGAGUCAAACAGCACGUGAAAUUGUUAAAAGGGAAGCGCUCGCUACCAGACUUGGGUUCGGCGGUUCAACCGGGGCCACGCCCCGGGGCAUUCCGCCGGCCCAGGCCAGCAUCAGCUUUCCGUCGGGGGUAAAGGCGUCGGGAAUGUGGCUCCCCUUCGGGGGAGUGUUAUAGCCCGUCGUGUCAUACCCUUCGGGGGGCUGAGGUACGCGCUUCUGCAAGGAUGCUGGCGUAAUGGUAGCUAGUGACCCGUCUUG